UGGUUACUCUAAUGGCAGCAUCCACGCUA
rnacentral:piRNA from 1 species